GACGAACGCUGGCGGCGUGCUUAACACAUGCAAGUCGAACGAAGUGGCGAACGGGUGAGUAACGCGUAAUCAACCUGCCCUUCAGAGGGGGACAACAGUUGGCAACGACUGCUCAUACCGCAUACUGAAGGCGGGGAUUGCGUCUGCUUAGCUAGUUGGAGGGGUAACGGCCCACCAAGGCGAAGAUCAGUAGCCGGGCUGAGAGGGUGGACGGGCACAAUUGGACUGGGACACGGCCCAGACUCCUACGGGAGGCAGCAGUGGGGAAUCAUCCGCAAUGGACGGAAGUCGUACUGAGCAACGCCGCGUGAGUGAUGACGGGCUUCGGGUUUGAAAGCUCUGUUAAGCGGGACGCGGUACCGGAAGAGAAAGCAACGGCUAACUACGUGCCAGCAGCCGCGGUAAUAC
rnacentral:rRNA from 1 species